CAGAAGAAAGAGAGAGGAAGGAGGUCGCCAGAUACGCCCGCCCCGCUCCAACCCUCUUCUCCUCCUCACGUACGACACCUCCUUUCUCCUCCCUCUCCCCUUCUCUCUCAGACCCACUGGCGGCGGAGACUGGAGGCAGAACACUGCACGCGCCGGCCGGCGAGGAGGAGCUGCGCUGUCGCCGGCGCACCAACUGCGUCUACUGCCUCGCCUCCCCGUUGACCUACAAGAAGGUAUAUUCCCACAUUGAACUGAAUUAUUGCUAUAUUCGGUUGAUUCAGACAUAUUGUAUCUUCAAUGGCUUUCACUGCUGGGCAAAAUCAAGCGAUGGAAGAUCCAUGGUACAUUGUGGUGUUAUCUGCUACUGAUUUACAGGCCUUGUGGUUGUCGUUCCCAUGGCUGUACCGUUCACGUUUAUGCAGGGUUUAAAGUUUGAUGUAGGAUGGGCACACAAGUUUGAUGUUUGCAGUUACAGAUUUUUGUCAAAGCCCGCUGAAACGAAGUUUAGUUCAGCAGACCAUGUAUGUUGGAAGAAAGCAAAUUUCUUGCCUUCUGAAUCCUCCGUAGCCAUAAUAUUUUAUUUCAGACCGAAUUGUCCCAGCUCAGUGUAUCUCAGCGAAGUAGCGGGUUCAUGCAAGGCCUGGCCGACGGCAACGACUUUAGGGGCUGUCGUGCUUUGCAUACUUCAUCUAGCUUUGGUUCAGAGGCAGGUUUUGGGCAUACCGCAGCACAAGCAGAGGCAUAUCUCAGUCGAUGCUACUGCAGUUGAUGAUGCCCUGAAGCUUUCUUCAGUAACUGAUUCAGCGUGCCGCUGUUCUCUAAGGUCGUUGAGUGCUGAGAACAGGCAAUAUAAUUAGGCUUUUAACGAGAAGAUGGAGGAGAUAAAAACUUUCAGGAAGUGUUUAGGCGAGUUCCAUGCCCAAAAUAAUGUUAUGUGAGCAGAGAGUGCAGGCUUGUGCUCUUCUGUUGAAGAGCUUGAGCAUGAGAGAUUGAAUCAACACAUAAGUCAUGAGAGCAUAUAUUUAGACGAGGAGAGGUGACUGGUCAAAGAAAUUAAGACCCUUGAAAAAACCAGACCGAGGGUCAGUUCCAAUGUUGCUAAGCAAGCUAAAAUGGAAGAUAUAGUGGCUGAGAGAGAUGCCAUACAUGAUCAGGUGAAAAUCAUCAUACAUGGAGUAAAGGAGGGAGAAGCAGCCAUGUCUAAGAUUAAGGUCCUGGACGAUGAGGCGAUGGGCGUGGAGAGCUGCUACAAGCUCGCGCAGGCGGCAUACGUCAACCUCGCGCUGCACACACUCAAGCACCUGGCGCCCGUCGUCAAUGGGCUCCUCGUCCAUGAUUAGCUGGACAACAUGAACCUCGAGGAGGUUGUGAAGGGGAACAUCUGUGACGCCGUUCUUUAGGUCUUUGGGAGUUUGCUAGCAGUCCUGGUCAGACUUGGACCAGGGACUAGCGUCCUGGAUGCCUUGGCAUGCUCGGCUCCACCGGUGUUGCAAGCCCAGUUCAUUUCAGGAUCAUCAAGCUUCCCGUGUACAUCUACCACCCAAGUCAUGUGAACGAGCCGAUGAAGAUACUCAACAUUAUUUGCUUCAGCUACUUCCUUCGUAACUACAAGCUGUGUUCGGCAACCCUCUACUCCUUCGCUAGGGAGCGGAGCUCACGGAGCACCCUGUUAGCAGCUCACCAAAAUAUAACUGCAUGCCGCUCCGCUCCGCAGCGGAGUUGCAGAGCAGAGAGAUCCCGAACAGCUCCUUAGUUUCAGUUUAUUGUCAUUUGUUAUGUUACGUUCGGCGGACGAAGAAAUGCCAGCUGGCGUGCCUGGCGACCACUCUACCUAGAUCGGAGCACGACAAGGUCGCUUGUCGCCCAACACCUCCUCCAGUCGAGAUCCGCUGCCACCAACCUCGUGUAGGGAGCUCUUUUUAUCUUCCUUUGUAUCUCUAUGGAGCAGAAGGUUUAAUUUACCAAUGUAUGGCUCUUGUUUAUGUUCCCUAUACAUGAAUGUUCAUAAGCAAGACAGGUGCACACGUAUAAACACUCAAGAGGUGCACCACUGAAGGACGCAAGGCAUGCCGCUCCCAAACCUGGCUUUGUGUAUUACCUAGAUGGAUUAGUGUGCGCGGGCAGUAGAGAAGCUCGGCUCCGUCCUCAGGAGAGGCAAAGGUCGCUCAGCUUGCUCAUGAAUAUACUUAAGAUGGAGGCCUGCUCGUGGAUGCUCCACUGGUUUACUGCAGUUUCAAGGGCUUAGGGAGCGCCUCCUUGUUGACAACCUCUUCCUUGCCAAGCUUGUCAUGGAGUGCGUCGUCGAGCCAUCAGCAAUGUCUGUUUUAUUUUGAGAAGCCGUCAUUCACCGGAUUUAGAUAGAUCAUCCGCGACUGCCACUGCCGCCUGUCGGAGCUGUUAACUCAGCUUUACCCUAUUUUGAACUGCGGCUCCACUUUUGGACAGAAUGUACGAUUAUGUAUGCCAGUAUCAAAAACUGUGUCCCCUUCAUUUUGAAGCAGCUAACAUACAUCUAAAUGCAUAGUUUAACCAGCUAUA